CCAAUAGCGUAUAUUAAAGUUGUUGCAGUUAAAAAGCUCGUAGUUGAAUUUCGGGGUUAGUAGGUUGGUCGUGCCUCAGGUAUGUACUGAUCUCACUGAUUCCUCCUUCCUGAUGAACCGUAAUGCCAUUAAUUUGGUGUUGCGGGGAAACUGGACUGUUACUUUGAAAAAAUUAGAGUGUUUAAAGCAGGCUAACGCUUGAAUACAUUAGCAUGGAAUAAUGAAAUAGGACGUUCGAUCCUAUUUUGUUGGUUUCUAGGAUUGACGUAAUGAUUAAUAGGGAUAGUUGGGGGCAUUAGUAUUCAAUUGUCAGAGGUGAAAUUCUUGGAUUUAUUGAAGACUAACUACUGCGAAAGCAUUUGCCAAGGAUGUUUUCAUUAAUCAAGAACGAAAGUUAGGGGAUCGAAGACGAUCAGAUACCGUCGUAGUCUUAACCAUAAACUAUGCCGACUAGGGAUCGGAUGAUGUUAAUUUUUUAAUGACUCAUUCGGCGCCUUACG
rnacentral:rRNA from 1 species